CCAGAAGAGGUGCAAUUGCCAGGUAAGUAAUACGAGGACCCCAUCCUAUGACUGUUACUGAGGGGGACAAUUGCCGAGAAUGUUGAUAUGGGGGCAUAUUGCAUUCGGUCACUAAGGCUGAAUCCUUAGGGCUGUCACCACUAGAAAACAAUGGUUUUCUAGAUUUGGGUGGAGAGCUUCUGGC
rnacentral:ncRNA from 1 species